rnacentral:rRNA from 1 species
AACGGCCAUACCAUGCUGGAUAUACCGGUUCUAGUUAGAUCACCGAAGUCAAGCAUCAUUGGGCGCGGCCAGUACUUUGGUGGGUGACCACCUUGGGAACACCGCGUGCCGUUU